CCAAUAGCGUAUAUUAAAGUUGUUGCAGCUAAAAAGCUCGUAGUUGAAUUUCGGGAUCAAAUUGUUGGUCGUGCCUCGGUACGCACUGGUAUUAUUGGUUCCUACCUUCUGACGAACCGCGAUGUCAUUAAUUUGGUGUCGUGGGGAAUCAGGACUGUUACUUUGAAAAAAUUAGAGUGUUUAAAGCAGGCUUACGCUUGAAUACAUUAGCAUGGAAUAAUGAAAUAGGACGUUUGAUUCUAUUUUGUUGGUUUCUAGGAUUGACGUAAUGAUUAAUAGGGAUAUUUGGGGGCAUUAGUAUUCAAUUGUCAGAGGUGAAAUUCUUGGAUUUAUUGAAGACUAACUACUGCGAAAGCAUUUGCCAAGGAUGUUUUCAUUAAUCAAGAACGAAAGUUAGGGGAUCGAAGACGAUCAGAUACAGUCGUAGUCUUAACCAUAAACUAUGCCGACUAGGGAUCGGAUGAUGUUAAGUUUUUAAUGACUCAUUCGGCGCCUUACG
rnacentral:rRNA from 1 species